rnacentral:rRNA from 1 species
CAGCAGCCGCGGUAAUACGUAGGUGGCAAGCGUUGUCCGGAAUUAUUGGGCGUAAAGGGCUCGCAGGCGGUUUCUUAAGUCUGAUGUGAAAGCCCCCGGCUCAGCCGGGGAGGGUCAUUGGAAACUGGGAAACUUGAGUGCAGAAGAGGAGAGUGGAAUUCCACGUGUAGCGGUGAAAUGCGUAGAGAUGUGGAGGAACACCAGUGGCGAAGGCGACUCUCUGGUCUGUAACUGACGCUGAGGAGCGAAAGCGUGGGGAGCGAACAGGAUUAGAGACCCCCGUAGUCCCUGUCUCUUAUAC